CCCUUAGAUGUUCUGGGCCGCACGCGCGCUACACUGAUGCAUUCAACGAGUCUAAAACCUGCUCUGAUAGGGGUGGGUAAUCUUUUGAAUGUGCAUCGUGAUUGGGAUAGAUGAUUGCAAUUUUUCAUCUUCAACGAGGAAUGCCUAGUAAACGCAAGUCAUCAGCUUGCAUUGAUUACGUCUCUGCCCUUUGUACACACCGCCCGUCGCUCCUACCGAUUGAAUGAUCCGAUGAAUAUCAUGGAUUGAGGAUGCAAGCAGGUUCGCCUGUCUUCAUCUUCGAGAAGUGAAGUAAAUCUUAUCAUUUAGAGGAAGGAGAAGUCGUAACA
rnacentral:rRNA from 1 species